rnacentral:rRNA from 1 species
GAUGAACGCUGGCGGCGUGCUUAACACAUGCGAGUCGAACGAAACACCUUAUUUGAUUUUCUUCGGAACUGAAGAUUUGGUGAUUGAGUGGCGGACGGGUGAGUAACGCGUGGGUAACCUGCCCUGUACAGGGGGAUAACAGUCAGAAAUGACUGCUAAUACCGCAUAAGACCACAGCACCGCAUGGUGCAGGGGUAAAAACUCCGGUGGUACAGGAUGGACCCGCGUCUGAUUAGCUGGUUGGUGAGGUAACGGCUCACCAAGGCGACGAUCAGUAGCCGGCGUGAGAGAGUGAACGGCCACAUUGGGACUGAGACACGGCCCAAACUCCUACGGGAGGCAGCAGUGGGGAAUAUUGCACAAUGGGGGAAACCCUGAUGCAGCGACGCCGCGUGAGUGAAGAAGUAUUUCGGUAUGUAAAGCUCUAUCAGCAGGGAAGAAAAUGACGGUACCUGACUAAGAAGCCCCGGCUAACUACGUG